rnacentral:tRNA from 2 species
GGGGGGAUGUCCGAGUGGUUAAAGGAGACGGGCUGUAAACCCGUUGGCUCUGCCUACGCAGGUUCGAAUCCUGCUCCCCCCAC